rnacentral:rRNA from 1 species
AUGUUCAUUAAUCCUAUAUAUUGUAAUUAAUUUAAACACUAAAAUAUCAAUUUACGAAUAACAAUAAAUGAAAAGUACUGAAAAGGAAAACUUUAAUUAAACCUAAGUAGUGAAAUAUCACAUACCUUGUGCAUUAUGGUUUUACAAGCUAUAAAUUAAAAAUUAUCUCCCGAAUUCUAUGCGAGCUGCUAAUAUAUAGCUAAGAGCCCACUUUUAAUUGUAGCACCAAUUUUAGAAAAUAUAUUGACAGAGGCUACAUACCAAUCGCGCUAGAAAAUUGCUGGUUUUCAGCAAAAUUUAUCAAUUAAAACAUGAUGUAAUAUUACACCAAUGUUAAAUUUCAGAGGAUAAGCCCUGUAAUUAAAAGCUAUUUCAUAAAUAAUAAGAGUAUCAUAGGCUUAAAAUCAGCUACUUUCACUACUUCACCGUUCUAAAUAUAUAAUAUAUAAUUAUAUUGCUAUUAUAAGCUGAAAUUUAAGAAAAACUUUAAAUCCUAAAAUAUUAUGUAAAAAUAAGUAUUAGAAAACAUAUAUACAUUAAUUUAUAAAAAUUAAUAAAUUAAACAUAAAAACUCUUAUAAAGGAACUCGGCAAAUAAUCAUUUCGACUGUUUAACAAAAACAUUGCCUCUCGUAACAUAAAUGAUAGGUAAUUCCUG